UACGAAGGGGGCUAGCGUUGCUCGGAAUCACUGGGCGUAAAGGGUGCGUAGGCGGGUCUUUUAAGUCAGGGGUGAAAUCCUGGAGCUCAACUCCAGAACUGCCUUUGAUACUGAGGAUCUUGAGUUCGGGAGAGGUGAGUGGAACUGCGAGUGUAGAGGUGAAAUUCGUAGAUAUUCGCAAGAACACCAGUGGCGAAGGCGGCUCACUGGCCCGAUACUGACGCUGAGAGACGAAAGCUAGGGGAGCAAAUGGG
rnacentral:rRNA from 1 species